rnacentral:rRNA from 1 species
UACGUAGGGUGCGAGCGUUGUCCGGAAUUAUUGGGCGUAAAGAGCUCGUAGGCGGUGUGUCGCGUCGGCCGUGAAAACCUGCAGCUUAACUGUGGGCUUGCGGUCGAUACGGGCAUCACUGGAGUUCGGCAGGGGAGACUGGAAUUCCUGGUGUAGCGGUGAAAUGCGCAGAUAUCAGGAGGAACACCGGUGGCGAAGGCGGGGUCUCCUGG